rnacentral:rRNA from 1 species
CCCUUAGAUGUCCAAGGCUGCACGCGUGCUACAAUGGUGAUCGCAACAAGUUUUUUGCUUUUCCGAGAGGAAUGGCUAAUCUUGCAAAGGUCAUCGUGCUGGGGAUCGAUGUUUGGAAUUAACAUCGUGAACGAGGAAUUCCUUGUAAACGCGAUUCAUCAUAUCGCAUUGAAUACGUCCCUGCCCUUUGUACACACCGCCCGUCGCUACUACCGAUUGGUGGUUUUGGUGAGGUCUUUGGAGUUUCGACUUUUUCUGAUGCUUUUGCGUUGGAAUGUUGAGGCAAAAUUGGUCGAACCGUAAUCACUAGAGGAAGUAAAAGUCGUANCA